ACCCUGGUGGUCCGGUGGCUAAGACUCUGCACUCCCAAUGCAGGAGGCCCAAGUUCAAUUCCUGGUCAGGAAA
rnacentral:tRNA from 1 species